UGGUUUCAUAUAAAAGCAGAUAGAAACAUCUAAUCUUAGGUUGAUCAAGACAAGAACACUUUGGUUCUCAGACAAGAAACGACACUUAGCAUUCUAAACAGUAGUAAGCAAACAAAACCCAGAAAAAGAGUUAGAAAAAAGCUUACGAGAUGGGUUCGAGAGAGAGCUGGGUUCGAGAAAGAGCUGGGUUCGAGAUGGGUUCGAGAGAGAGCUAGGUUCGAGCUGGGUUCGAGAGAGAGCUGGGUUCGAGGUGGGUUCGAGAGAGAGCUGGGUUCGAGCUGGGUUCGAGAUCGAGAGAUCGGUUUGCGUCUGGAGAAGAGAGAGAGAUGCGUUGGAGAUCGAGAGAGAGAGAGAGAGCUUCAGAUGGGUUUGUGUCGGAGAGCUCGUAAUGGAAAUCGAGAGAGAUGGAGAGAGAGAUCCAAGAAACGACACUUAGCAUUCUAAACAGUAGUAAGCAAACAAAACCCAGAAAAAGAGUUAGAAAAAAGCUUACGAGAUGGGUUCGAGAGAGAGCUGGGUUCGAGAAAGAGCUGGGUUCGAGAUGGGUUCGAGAGAGAGCUAGGUUCGAGCUGGGUUCGAGAGAGAGCUGGGUUCGAGGUGGGUUCGAGAGAGAGCUGGGUUCGAGCUGGGUUCGAGAUCGAGAGAUCGGUUUGCGUCUGGAGAAGAGAGAGAGAUGCGUUGGAGAUCGAGAGAGAGAGAGAGAGCUUCAGAUGGGUUUGUGUCGGAGAGCUCGUAAUGGAAAUCGAGAGAGAUGGAGAGAGAGAUCGAGAGAGAUGGAGAGAGAGAUCGAGAGAGAUCGAGAGAGCUCAAGUACAGUGCUUGACGCAGCUUCUACGGGAGGAGGAGAGAGCGGCUGCGUCUAUUAGGGUUGAGUAUUUUUUGUAAAUAAUGAAUUGUGUUAAGGGCUAAAAUGUAAAUAAGUAAAUAGACGCAGAAUAUUAGUUAAAAUCGCUGAUUUUAUCCGCGUCCAAAUUUUGAUUGCCGCAAGACGCAGCGUCUAGACGCAGACGCAGACGCGGAUGGCUGCGGCAAUCAAACGAACAAGAUUAUUGCCGCAGCCGCAGCCGCAAGAACCUGCGUCAAUGAAACGAACAGCCCUAUUGAUAUGAAUUUUUGAAGUUAACUAGGGGUAUCUAAGUCCAAAUCCGACCAAAAAAUGAUUUAUGGUAUAGGGAUAAUGUAGUUGUUUUGGCAAUUUUUCUAUAUAUAACGAAGCUCAAAAUCGCAGCAAAAUCGUAGCUUGGCGACAUAUUUGACACUAUUCGAAACAUAGGGUCCG
rnacentral:lncRNA from 1 species